GGGAGCCUCCCUCCAGAGGCUGGAGGUGAAGUUCAGCCCCUCGGUACUGCAACACCCCUAGUAGGGCUCCCCCGUCCCAGUGCAGAGAUGCCACCGACUCCGGAUCUCCAUUGAUGGUGCCAGUCAGCUAAGAAUUCUCAGUGCCACUCCCCUGGUCGGUCUGCUCCACCCAGCUGCACUGCUGGUGGGCUAUAUCCCAGAGACCCUGUCUGGGGGAGGUGUGGGGGAGGCCUCUUUCCAAUGAGAAAACUGUAGAACCUCAAAGAGUGGGUGGCCCAGCUGGAGCUGGGCUUGGAGACAAAAAGAAAAAAAAAAGAAGAAAAAAGAAA